UACGUAGGGUGCGAGCGUUAAUCGGAAUUACUGGGCGUAAAGCGUGCGCAGGCGGUUUUGUAAGUCAGAUGUGAAAUCCCCGGGCUUAACCUGGGAACUGCGUUUGAAACUACAAGGCUAGAGUGUGGCAGAGGGGGGUGGAAUUCCACGUGUAGCAGUGAAAUGCGUAGAGAUGUGGAGGAACACCGAUGGCGAAGGCAGGUUGCUGGGCUGACACUGACGCUGAGGCGCGAAAGCUAGGGGAGCGAACGGG
rnacentral:rRNA from 1 species